rnacentral:rRNA from 1 species
UACGAAGGGGGCUAGCGUUGCUCGGAAUUACUGGGCGUAAAGGGAGCGUAGGCGGAUAGUUUAGUCAGAGGUGAAAGCCCAGGGCUCAACCUUGGAAUUGCCUUUGAUACUGGCUAUCUUGAGUAUGGAAGAGGUAUGUGGAACUCCGAGUGUAGAGGUGAAAUGCGUAGAUAUCGGGAGGAACACCAGUGGCGAAGGCGGCAUCCUGGCCCUGUCCUGACGCUCAGGGGCGAAAGCGUGGGGAGCAAACCGG